UGACUAUUUAUGAAGUUAAAGAUUAAAAAUAAUAAUAAUAGUAAGAAAAUGGAGUGAAUUCAAGACGUGACUUUGUAACCAUUCAAUCAAAAUCAAAUUGCAGUAAUCGUGGGUGUGGUCCCCACCUUUUUAUUAGGGCUCAUCCCAAAUGAAUUUUCCCUAAAAAUAAAAAGGAACAAGUAAAUUUAUUACUAGUUACAGUAACAAAGCUUGAAGCCAAAACAGAAAAUGCUUUCCUAACUGUAUUAAUUUUGAAUAACGUCAUCAAAGAUUCUUUAAAAAUAAUUUGCAAUUUGGAUUCAUUCCAAAAAAAAAACAAAAUUGUAUUUCGAUUGAAAGCUCCAUAGUCUCAUUUCCAUUUUUCAAAAUUGGGAAAAUGCUACUUGUACUAUGGCACAUAAUUUUAUCUUAUGAAGCGGCUAAGUUACGUCAGACACAACAAUAAUAACAGGUCCCACCACUGUGUGUAUUAUUGCUGUGUCUGGUCACAGCUUUAUUUUAUGGGAGUCCCUAUAUUAUAAUUAAUGUAACAUACAUAUUCAAUAACAACCACAUAAAUAAUGAGUUCACACAAUUUAUGUGAUUGUUGUUGAGUGUGUAUGUUACAUUAAUUGUAACAUAGCAUUUGCCUUAUCUUAUAUCUCAGGUCCUCAUUUCAUUUAUCAUGUGUAAUUUUGUGAGGACCAAUAAAUAUAUGACACCUGGCUAUGUCAUUUAGAUAUUAUAUUCAAAGGAUAAAUUUAAAUAACCAACAAAGUGUUGGCUCUACUGACAAUAGAAUCUCUUUAAGUGGCUUGAUUAGGUUUGCUCUUCAGUUCGAGUAGUAGGGAAGUCGCAUUUGUUGGGAGAAUCUGUGCCUCUCGGUUCAAGCAGGGACUUAUAGUCUGAGUUGUGGUACGGACUUAAAGGUGCCUUCCACAGUUGAGGCCCUCCCCAAGAUACCUCAUGGAUAAGAUAAAAAAAAAUAGGACAAUUUUAAAUAGAUAAAGUUGACACGUAUGAUAUAAAAUCCAAAAUUUUGAUAUGUUACAUUGAAUGUACUAUACACAAUCAACAAGAAUCACAUAAUUAUAUGAGUCCUAUAAUUUAUGUGAUUCUUAUAAAUUAUGUAUAGUACAUUCAAUGUAACAUAAGUUCUCCCUAAAAUCCAAGCCUUAGCCGAAGGACAAUUGAGAACGUGCGCAAUUCUUUCUCGUUCUUUAUAGUACUCUUUCCAGUGCUUUCGCUAUCCUGCUCUGUCAAAUACUGAGUGUACCCAAUAGUGGAUGUGUAAUAAUUGUGUGCUAUUAUUUAGAAAUGACAAUAUUAAAAGGGACGUCUCUUUUUUAAACCACACAAAAAUAUAAAACUCGUGGUUCACAAUUCACAUGGCAAAUGCUAAGUACAAUAUCAAAAUAUCAAGCAAGGCGUGCCAAGAAAAAGGAGAAAGUUCACGAUGACUCAAAAGCACCAUUCAAUCACAAGAGCAUUAAAGAAGACAUAUCACUUUAUUAAUUUUAUCACAUGAAAGUGUCCUCGUUCUAUUUGUCAUAUGUAAUUUUAUGUACAAACGUUGUAUUAAAUUGACAUUUUCUUGAAGUUUAUGUGAUUAAUGAUUUAUGUACCUAAUCUUCAAGUACGUGGUGUUAUUUAAUUCUACUUGCGAGUAUCAUACUACUUUUAUUUGAUGGAGGAUUUUGUUAAAUGGAAAAGACAUAAGAUAUAUCGAUAGCCAUGUAUAUAGCAACAUAGUAGAAUAUAAUAAUAA
rnacentral:lncRNA from 1 species